rnacentral:ribozyme from 1 species
AGAGAAGAGAAGGAAAGGCAGGAAGAAAAACGGAGAGAAAUCGAUGGGUAUGCGUGUGUCUCUUUUUCCUCUCCUUUCUUCUCCUCUCCUCUCCCUUCCCUUCCUCUCUCC